AGGGGUGUAGGUCAGUUGGUAGAAUGCUCGCUGAGCAUGCUUGAAGCCUUGGGCUCAAUACCCAGCAGCCCUA
rnacentral:tRNA from 1 species